rnacentral:rRNA from 1 species
GGACGAACGCUGGCGGCGUGCUUAAUACAUGCAAGUCGAACGGACCAAUCCAGUAGUUACUAUUGGGAAAGGUUAGUGGCGGACGGGUGAGUAACGCGUGGGUAAUCUGCCCCUAAGUCCGGGAUAACAGAGCGAAAGUUCCGCUAAGACCGGAUACUCUUUACCAGUUGCAUAACGGGUAAAAGGAAAGGUAACGCUUAGGGAUGAGCCCGCGUCCCAUUAGCUAGUUGGUGAGGUAAGAGCUCACCAAGGCGACGAUGGGUAGCCGGCCUGAGAGGGUGGACGGCCACACUGGGACUGAGACACGGCCCAGACUCCUACGGGAGGCAGCAGUAGGGAAUUUUCCGCAAUGGGCGAAAAAGCCUGACGGAGCAACGCCACGUGAGGGACGAAGGUCUUCGGAUCGUAAACCUUUGUCAUCGAGGACGAUAAUGACGGUACUCGAGGAGGAAGCCCCGGCUAACUACGUGCCAGCCGCUGC